CCAUAAUCGUUUGCGGGGCUAUAGCGGUAGGCUUUACGAGGCGGCAUAUUUCGGCAGCGAGGUUUGUUUGGGGUUGCUGAACGUUGAUUGGCUGGAGGGAGCGGCAGCUUCUUCCGCCGGAGUCUCUAAAUCAGCCAGUGAGGAGCUAGGCUGUUCGGAAAGACGGACCAACCCCGUGGCUGCUUCCUGAGCAUUAUGCACGGGACGUUGGGAUGCCUUGCACAAGAUGGCUGACGAGAGCCGACGGAGAGGAGGCGGAGAGGCAUCGGCGGAGUCGAGAUGGAUUGAGAUGCACUGCUCGGAUGGGGGACCUGCAUGCUACGCAAGCAUACACCACGGGCCCUUAGGAAAAUGAGCCGAGGAGCUUGCGGUCGCCUGCGAAGAGGAGUCCUCUGUUCUCAAAGGCCCCGAGGCCAUCAUAAAGCGCACGGUGUCGGAGUUGACACACUGCACAGCAGCGCCGCCUUUGGAAACAAAGACUGCUCACAGAUGCGCAGAGGAAUUCAAACCGCCGUCAAGCCACAGGAUCAACGAGGACUAAUUGCUUCCCACCCGCAUACCGCAAGGCAAUUGAUCGUUGUCAAUGAAUGAGGAUUCCCCGUUGCUGAUAGGACUGGGCUAUAUGCAAUGCCGUGCAGAAAACCAGCAAGAAGAAGGAUCAUCACGCGCUAGGAUACGUCUGGAAUAACAGAGACUCAUUUAAACAUCUUCUAAUCAUUAGGAGAAGUUUAGAAUGAGAAAUACGACACCACGGAGAACCAGAACAUAAAAUCUGAAAGUAUUUUUGACGGGCACAAGGAGUCGCAAUUUCCCCCCACAAUAAUUUCGUCUGUACCCUCUUGCAUAACCUAAGCACCAUCCACUACCCUUUUUUAUAUAUCCAAAUCAGAAGCAGUCUCAUUACUUGUUGUUACUUAGCUCAAUGCACUGCAUUCAAUGUAAGUCCAGCGUACCGCGACAAGGGAAUUGCAUUAUGGGCUCUAUACCCAAAGGAAGCAUAUUGGUGUGAAUGUAUGUAUACGAAGACAUCUGUUAAA